UUUGUUACUUCAUUUUAUAAACUGUUAUAAGCGUUAUAAUUUCUUUCAUUUAUCUGAUUUAGUUGUCCCAAACUCCCAAUACAUAUUUAAACCGUGUUGUGGGCUUUCAAGAAGACAAAUGACAGAUUCACAAUAAUGGGCUGGCCCAAGUUACUUAACCAGACGAUGUUAAUCCACUUACUCACUUCAUGACCAUCCCCUCCUUCUCCAAUCUCUCACUCACCCUGUAGUUUCCACCGCAUCGCCGCUGCUCCUCUGCAUCGGAGGCACGACUUCAAUUGCAAGAUCCACUCCCGCACUCACAAGAUCUACUUCCUCCGAUGUACGCAUCGCGUCACCAGGUCUCACCAGGUCAGGCUACCUCAACCACUUCCAAGUGAACCUUCACAAACAACACAGUAUUACGUCUAAAGGAUAGCAAGUAAAUCCGGAGUAUUACAGUUUUGAGCUAAUGUUUUUUUCCCUAGAGGCGGCAGUGUAAUUAUUAGCUGUCAUUAAAAUCAAUAUUGUCUCAUGAAAAUGCCUACCCUGUUGACCCGCUAAUGGCAAUUACAAAAAUGUUUGGUUCAUUACGCCUAAUUCAAAUUAGCUUCAAUGCCUCAUGUUUACUUCCAUAGCCUGAACUGAUAAAUCACUGAAAUUUCUUCUCUGCUAAACCUAUGUCUACUUCGUAAUCAACACCCGAGUAAUAACAUGGUAGAUCGUCAUACAUGUUUAUCUCCUGUUUUCUUGAUGUCUGAGUAACAGUAUAUGCAUGUGUCCUACAAGCUCAAUGCCCUACUAUUCUGGUUGAUAGCUGACUGUUGAGUCAUUGGCACUAAGGUUGCUAAUAGAAAGGCGCACUUACAGAGAGUCCAUGAACAAGAUAGCAAGAAGAAAACAUAACAUAAAAUAGAGAUGUAAUUCCCCUUUGUACUAUGAUGUAUAUGCUUGUUUAGGGCAAACCAUAUAUCUUCAGAAAUUUGUACCUUAUCAGCUAUUUGAUUUGGUUACCGCAGUUCGGUCUUUUCCCUCUUGUGAGUUCUGCACCAUCCUUACAUGAUUCAUCAACAACCACCUAGAAACGAUCAGCAGAAAAACAAAAUCAAAGUGAAAUCAAAUGGAAUCGCAUGUAGGUAGUAGCGAAGUACGAUAUAUGCCACUCCAUUGGCACUUUGCCUGUACACCAUGCAACAUCAAGUGAGGCAUGAUCAAUAAAUUGAUCAGAUACCAACAUCAUGUAUUAAGCACAAAUCAUGAAUCAAUACCAGAGGACCAAAUAGUGUUACCACCUCUGUACUAACAACCAAACAUUUUUUUAGAACAGGGAGGCUCUAACAACCAACAUUUUAGCAUGUCAUUUGUUUACCAAGCAAAACCACAAUAGCUAAAUCUCCCAAGAGCAUACUUUCGGAGAAGCACAGUCCAGAUCAUACACCCACAAAUAAAUGGCUUGGUUUUCAACUGGCAUAAUGAUUUCCUCCCUACCGCAAGCCUCUGCCUACAACUUUAAACUGAACCAUCAAGUUAGCAUGGCAUUUUUUAUAGAAGUAUUGCUAUAGCAGUCUAAUUUCCCAAGGGCAGGAGUCUAAUAUACUUUCAGAAUGUGCAGUUCAGAUCAUGCAGUUAGAAAUAAACUUUAUGGUAGUAACUGUACAGGACUUGCUAUUCAAUUAUCUUUUCUAGUACCCAUUUGGAACACGACACAAUGAUUAGCUCCUAUUAUGUAAGGUCACACUAUUUAAAUCGAGAAUUGCUCGCAUUUCAUUAUUUUUUUAGUUAUCCUAGUAGUGUUUACUUGCACAUCAGGAGUAUCACAGUUACAACUAAAGAGGCAUUGUCCUAUCAUAAUUUAAAUAUCAGAAGCUGACAGCAGUAAUGUAAAUACAUAUGGUCGAGACAUAAUUUUGUAGCAAAACAUGUCAGAGAGGCAAUAGAUUACAUGUGAAGGCACCCACACAAGAUUAUUACAAGAGCAGACACAAGGAUCAGAACACCAAGUAACAAUUAGAAUCUGUAUUGCGAGCUCCCUUCCCCCAUUCUAUUUUUGCUUGACAUUCAAACAUAGAACAAAGUAAUUCUUUUUAAUUUCCAAAGCACAUGUGAAUAUGACAAUACAGCUUGUCAAACCAGUACAUUGACUCAUAGCUCUGUGUCUAACAUUCAAAUCUAAAAUUAAGUAACUCUAUUUUGUUCUUAAUGAAAACAAAAAGGACCUCAGAAAGCCCAAGUAGCACCAAAAAAAAUAUAACACGGGAGAUUAAAAAAAACACUGAAGCAUCAGAGUAGGGAGUAAUUAUCAAAUAGAAACAAAAGGAAAAGAAAAGCAAGAAGCUCACUUCCCCCAUCUGUUUUUGUUUUCUUUCACUUAUAUACACCAGACCAAUAGACAAGCACUUUAACUAUAAAAAAACAUAAUUCCUAAUUCAAGAACACAGUUGAAUAUUGGAGCACAACAUACUACUCUUCGUAAAGUAAAACCAGGCAUGUGAAGUCUCAAUUGACGGACGCUGCUUAGGAAGGAUUCAAUUAUGCUAUUGUUAAGUAGGUACAUUACAAAGCCUGUUCAUGCUAACAGUAGUAGAUUCUUGUAAUCACACUUCAUGUUAUAUUUUCUAAAUAAAAUAAAUGAUCUCGCUAUAGCAGAAAACAUACAUGCAUAUAGCUGACUGAAUUACCUCGCAAAGCUUCUGUUCUUGCAUUUCUACAUUGCCCUUGGUGCUGAAAAUAUAUAAAACAUCAGGCUAAUGCUUAACAAGAUUUUGAUAGUUCAGGUGAUAGGAACUAUCUACACAAAUAUAGGAUUAUGCAUAUGGAUAGUUAGCAUGCAGUAGUCAGUUUCACAGGAUGUUGCUGAUGAGCAUCCUAUUGCUGCCCUUGUUCUCAUAUAUCGGAACGUACACAGAUCCACCAAGCAGAACCAUCAGCUUGCUGUCAUUCAUUCCUUGAGAUCCACAGCAACAUAAUUUGGCACACAUAUUGGGAUUACUAACAAGCUGACCUCCAGAUCCUUUCUGGAUGCACCAAUACUCAGAUUUUUUUUCUUAAAAGAAAAGAAUGAAAACUAAGAAUUCUUAGUGGGAACUACUAAUAUGAGAAGUUAUCUGAUACAUAACACAAUUACCACUCGAUAUAGGAUAAAUUGUUCCAUUGGGAGUAUCUUCUAGCUUUUUUACUUUCUUCUGAUCCAAAGUAGGCGCUAGGACAAAGUAAAUCUUUAAACACUUUUGUAGUGGAUUCAAAACAAUAAGAAGUCAUUUAACUGGCAGAACAUAGCAUUAUGAAAAUAUAUAGCAAAGUCAUUUUUGUGUAUGCUAGUUGCAACAUCGACACAACACAUAUUCUAGCAAAUAGACCUAUGUUCAACACAUUCUACCACAAAGUGCCUGUCCAAAGAUCCUACAUUUUGGUACAGAGGUUGUACGUCACAAACCAUCUAUCCUAUCAUCAGUGCAUGCAGUAUGCAGUACACCAUUUUCCAUAGCUGGAAAGAGACCAUACAUCAUAAUCUGGUCACAAUAUGUAGACAGAAGUGGUUAUCUGGACAAAAUAGGGAGGCACACCUUCACAAAACAGUUCUUAGUAAUUAUAGAAUUAACUGAAGUAAAAUCAAGCAUGUAUGUGUGCUCACUGAAAUGUGUAUGCACCAUUGCCGAUUGAAACAAGAUACACACAGCCGAUUGAUAACCGACAGUUGAAUUAUUGGCGCUCGAAUGUAUGUAUGUGUCCUUGCUCGCCUCUUGUAUGUAUAAAGGACCAAAAUGAUAGUUUGUGUAGUGUAGACCGCUCAAUCGUAAGCAUCUUGUGUGCACCUGAUACACAGUAUACAUAUGAUUAGUACAUUUUAUCAGCAAUAGAUGUGCACAUGAGCUGAAAACAACUUCGAAGACUGCAAGAGUAUAUAAAACCUGUAACUGGUAGCCACAAAAAGAAUUGUCUUUUCUACCGAACAGGCCAGUUCGCUAUGACCAGUUCACGCUCCACGAUUCAGA
rnacentral:lncRNA from 1 species